AACCGACAUGGUGUGUGCAUGAUUUCCACUGGCGAGAGGAAGAGGGAAUUUGCCCAACUUUCCCGGGAACCGAACGGCGGUUAGAAAAUUCUCCCUGAUUUUGUCUUCGACAUAAUUAUCCAAGUUAUAAUAGAAAGAAAGAAGAAGUGCACUUACAUCGGGCGAGAAAUGGGAGCAUCGUCUUCGACACAGCAGGUUUCGACUGAACAACGGGAGGCCGAAACCCUAGCAGCUUCGACUGGAGCUCUUCCAAUGCUUCAGAAGUCUUUCUCUAGGCUUUCUAAUCCCGAAACUAAAGCGAUUCCCCUGACAUCUCUGCAGGAAUGCUUCUGUAUAGCUUUCAACAAUGCAAAGUGUGAAGCACCUUAUGUUCCUGACUACGUCUUGCAGUUGUUGGAUCAACUGGGUCCAUCCGUAGUUGACCUAUUUUUUGUGGCAGAAAAAGGAGGAAUAAGUUGGGUUGAGUUUGUGAGGGGUUAUACUAAAUGCUGUGGGAGGAUGUCAGCUGCAAUGUCCCUUGGUGCUUUGUUGAGGGUUUUUUCAGUUACGACUGUGAAAGUGGGCAUGCCUUCAAAAUUGCAGUUUGAAUCUGAUGAUGCUGAUUGUAAGAUAAGUGGCUCCCUCCAGCCAAAUGAGUUGCUUGUGCUUCUUUGGAUGUGUUGGAUUAUGACGUGGAGUUCUAGAAUCUCCAAAUUCUCCAAUGGAAAACUGAAUCUGGAUCUUCCGGAUAUAAAUAAUUUAGUAUUAUCAGCUAUUGUGUCAUGUACAGAAGUUGGCAGUGACUUGAAUGUAUGGGAUUGUGAUAUCACAAGAUUGGAAGUGCAACUUCCUGCAGGAAAAAUUCAUACCUGGGCCUUGAAUACAGUGCCAAAUCUUGCAGAUUGUUUUGUGCAUUUUGUCCAUGUUAAACUCCAAAACACUGCAACUUCAGAGAGUGAGAUGGAGGCCUCAAGUUCAUCAGUAAGUGAUGUUUCCUCAGCAAAAUCAUGUGAUGCUCAUCUUCUAACUUGUGGGAGGGCGUGGGCUAUUUCCCUAUCACCAAGAAGUACUAUAGGUCAAGAGAUUUUAAGAGUAUGUUUCCCUAGAGAUGGGGAAGGAUCAGAGGAAAGCCUUCUUUAUCGGUCAUCACUUCAUGGGAAAGGUUUGAACAGAUUCUGGUCAAAUAUUGAGGGUUAUCAUGGCCCAAUGUUAAUGUUGAUUUCUGCCAGUUCAGGAAAUUCUGAGGGUAGCACCAAUUCCAGGAGAUGGAUCAUUGGUGCACUUACUCAGCAGGGUUUCGAAAAUAAGGAUAUGUUUUAUGGAAACUCUGGGAAUCUAUAUGCUAUAAGUCCAGUUUUCCAUUCAUUUUCACCUUCUGGGAAGGAGAAGAACUUUGUGUAUAGUCAUUUACAUCCUACUGGUAGGGCAUAUGAGCCACAUCCAAAGCCUGCGGGGAUUGCAUUUGGUGGAACCAUUGGGAAUGAGAGAAUAUUUAUUGACGAGGAUUUUGCUAGAGUUACUGUUCGCCAUCAUGCAGUUGACAAAACUUAUCAACCUGGUUCCCUCAUCCCUGAUCAGGGGUUUUUACCUGUUGAAGCACGGGUUUUAGAUGUGGAAGUAUGGGGAUUGGGUGGAAGAACAGCCAGGGAAGUACAAAUCUCAUUUCAGAAGAGAGAACAACUUUUUACUGAGCAAAGACGCAAGGUUGACUUGAAAACAUUUGCGAGUUGGGAUGAUUCACCUGAGAAGAUGAUGAUGGAUGUUAUGUCUGAUCCUAACAGAGUUAAUCGGGAAGACCGCUAAUCAGGAGAGUACAAGUUCAAGCUUCAAGUGACUGGCUUAGAGAAAAUGAUUAGAAAAGUGUCAACUAGCAUCCGAAUCCUUCCUGUUCCAUGCACGAUCCUUCUGCUUUGCCCCAAACUCUGCUAGCCAAACCUGAAUUGUCGACAUGCAUUUGAGCAGUGGUUUGUGGCGUAGGGAGUUGUUAAUGUGCAGCUGAAGGGGCAUAUUUCUCCAGUAGAAUUAUGCAAUAGGGAGAAUAUUUCAGGGCUGGUGUCGCUGCCAUGUUUGCCAUAGUCGACUUCUAUGUCUUGAUGAGAGGAUUGGAGGUGCUUCAUUAAAGCUUCAUUGGGGAUUUCAGCAUCUAAAAUUUGUUGAUUAUGGCUCUGUGCUACUAGCCAUCCUAUCGAAUUGUCCAAAUUUCCUCAUUUAUGAGAUGGAAUGUUGUAUCUGAUAUAGUUUUAUAUAUAUUUGUAUAGAUCAUGGGAAUUCCCAUUAUUUUUUCAGAGUCAAA